CACAGAAAAAAAAUUCAUAUUACAAGAACACAUUGGUAUUGAAGGAACUAGAUACUGUUCCGAAAUAUCACUUACUCGAACCGUCCUGACCGCGCAGCUCAGUUGGAAGAGCAUUGGGCUAGUAUUCCAAAGGUCGUAGGUUCGAAUCCCACCGUGGCCGGGCAUAUUUUUCAAGCUCGCCCGGUGUGGAUAUGCACUCAGAGUAACAUCACAAACAUAUUAUUCACCUGAGCACACAACACCAGCACAGAAAAAAUUCAUAUUACAAGAACACAUUGGUAUUGAAGGAACUAGAUACUGUUCCGAAAUAUCACUUACUCGAACCGUCCUGACCGCGUAGCUCAGUUGGAAGAGCAUUGGGCUGGCAUUCCAAAGGUCGUAGGUUCGAAUCCCACCGUGGCCGGGCAUAUUUUUCAAGCUCGCCCGGUGUGGAUAUGCACUCAGAGUAACAUCACAAACAUAUUAUUCACCUGAGUACACAACACCAGCACAGAAAAAAUUCAUAUUACAAGAACAUAUUGGUAUUGAAGGAACUAGAUACUGUUCCGAAAUAUCACUUACUCGAACCGUCCUGACCGCGUAGCUCAGUUGGAAGAGCAUUGGGCUAGUAUUCCAAAGGUCGUAGGUUCGAAUCCCACCGUGGCCGGGCAUAUUUUUCAAGCUCGCCCGGUGUGGAUAUGCACUCAAAGUAACAUCGCAAACAUAUUAUUCACCUGAGUACACAACACCAACACAGAGAAAAAAAA